UGAAAAAAAUGUUCAAAUUGCUGUAUAUUAUUUACAGACACAAAAAAAGAAAGGAAGAAAAUAACAUGGUGUCUAAGAAUAGGGAAAUAAUUAGACAAACGAUGGUACAUAGAUGAAAUAGUAUACAGCAUUUUAAAAUAUGUCAUAAGGAAUUCUUGAUGUCUUGAGGAAAUGUUUAUCUUAUAACGUUAAGUGAAAAUAAAACAGAUUACAAAGCAGCAUGCAGUAUCAUCCGUGUUGAGAGGGCUAUUACUUCCCUGUGCAGACGCUGGCUUGGUGCUGAUUCCAUGCCCAGGAUGGCUGCAUAGAAUGGCCAAGAUUUAAAUACAGCUGACACAACUGGAGCGAGCAGACACAACUGGAGCGAGCAUUUACUGUUCUUGUCUAACAAGUGUUCCUCUGCCUUCAUUUGGUUGUAAAAACACUCUUUCCUCUGAGGAACCCCUGACGUGAGGGUGGCUGCCGGAUCAGGCUUGGUCAGUUGGAGCACCCCAUCUUCCUGCUUCGGUGAUUGGAUCUUGGCGAACAGUGAUCAGCCCAGGACAGAGUUCUCCCAGGACCUUGGGAAAGAGGCACUCUUUCACUGGGGGUGCUAACCUGCUGGUAGGAUGGGAGGCUGGAGCAACUGGGGCCAUUGGUUCCCUCUGGAGAGGACUUGACUGAGUAUCAGACCCAAUUGAGGCAGCAGAACCGGGGCAUGGCGUGGAGAGAGACAGACAGACAGAACUGCGGCACUUUCAUUAAAGACCCGGCUGCAGACAGACCUUGCAUAAAGCUACAUUCAACCCUUGAAAUUCACAAGUAAGGUGAGCCAAGAAAUUUCCUUUUCAGCAUCAGUUUGAGUUGUGUCUUAUCACUUCCCAUCAAAAUAAUCCUGUUGAAAAAGGACUUUGGGGUUUUAGCUGCUUAGUUGUGGGCUAUCUGUGAUUGGUUGCUAACAUGAACUAAUACAGUAUUAGUUUGCACUAACCAACGUACCACAUCCAGGAAGUGGACCAACCUGAUCUAAUUAGUGAAAAACCACACAUAGCUGGGUUUUGGACACCACACUCCAUGGAGGGGACUGGUGAGCCAGCAGUGUCUGCAGGAGAGCGAAUGAUGAGGGGACUCAAGGUCACAAAACUGGAAAAAUGGAUGGAAGAACCAUGGCCACCUGACUUGGAGGAAGAAAGUACGAUAGGAAAGCAGCC
rnacentral:lncRNA from 1 species